AGGACGAACGCUGGCGGCGUGCUUAACACAUGCAAGUCGAGCGGAAAGGCCCUUCGGGGUACUCGAGCGGCGAACGGGUGAGUAACACGUGAGCAACCUGCCCUUAGCUCUGGGAUAGCUCCGGGAAACCGGAAUUAAUACCGGAUAUGACCUAGGCCGACAUCGGCCGUGGUGGAAAGUUUUUCGGCUAGGGAUGGACUCGCGGCCUAUCAGCUAGUUGGUGGGGUAAUGGCCUACCAAGGCGACGACGGGUAGCCGGCCUGAGAGGGCGACCGGCCACACUGGGACUGAGACACGGCCCAGACUCCUACGGGAGGCAGCAGUGGGAAUCUUGCGCAAUGGGCGAAAGCCUGACGCAGCGACGCCGCGUGGGGGAUGAAGGCCUUCGGGUUGUAAACCCCUUUCAGCAGGGACGAAGCGAAAGUGACGGUACCUGCAGAAGAAGCGCCGGCUAACUACGUGCCAGCAGCCGC
rnacentral:rRNA from 1 species